GACAGAGGUGCCAAGCGUUAGGCGGAAUCACUGGGCUUAAAGGCGUGUGUAGGCGGAAUUGUAAGUACCUUGUGAAAUUCCCAACGGCUCAACCGUGGAACUGCUCGGUAUACUGCUUUUCUUGAGCCACUUAGGGGGCUGUCGGAACAAACGGUGGAGCGGUGAAAUGCGUAGGAAUAUCCGGAGGAACACCGGUGGCGAAAGGCGGCUUCCUGGACCGACACUGACGCUGAGGCGCGAAAGCUAGGGGAGCAAACGGG
rnacentral:rRNA from 1 species